rnacentral:rRNA from 1 species
UACGAAAGGUGCGAGCGUUAAUCGGAAUUACUGGGCGUAAAGCGCGCGUAGGUGGUGUGUUAAGUCGGAUGUGAAAGCCCUGGGCUCAACCUGGGAACUGCAUCCGAUACUGGCACGCUAGAGUGCAGUAGAGGGAGGUGGAAUUUCCGGUGUAGCGGUGAAAUGCGUAGAGAUGGAAGGAACACCAGUGGCGAAGGCGGCCUCCUGGACUGACACUGACACUGAGGUGCGAAAGCGUGGGGGAGCAAACAGG